CGCAAGCCUGAUGCAGCCAUGCCGCGUGUAUGAAGAAGGCCUUCGGGUUGUAAAGUACUUUCAGCAGUGAGGAAGGUGGAUAUGUUAAUAGCAUAUUCAUUUGACGUUAGCUGCAGAAGAAGCACCGGCUAAACUCCGUGCCAGCAGCCGCGGUAAUACGGAGGGUGCGAGCGUUAAUCGGAAUUACUGGGCGUAAAGCGCAUGCAGGUGGUUUGUUAAGUCAGAUGUGAAAGCCCGGGGCUCAACCUCGGAAUUGCAUUUGAAACUGGCAAACUAGAGUACUGUAGAGGGGGGUAGAAUUUCAGGUGUAGCGGUGAAAUGCGUAGAGAUCUGAAGGAAUACCGGUGGCGAAGGCGGCCCCCUGGACAGAUACUGACACUCAGAUGCGAAAGCGUGGGGAGCAAACAGGAUUAGAUACCCUGGUAG
rnacentral:rRNA from 1 species